AGUUGGUGCACUUUUGUGCACCAAACAGUUUGCAUGGGAGCAGUGCUGUCACAGCCUGAACCAGUGAUUGAGCACCUGGUGAGGGGGCGUAGCCAGUCCUGGGGACACAGGUGUGUGUGAACAAUUCAUCUGUGUGACCCAGGGUUCACCCCUCCCUAACCUCAUUUAAGGGCUGGCACCUGCAAGGGAAGGAUCUCAACUUGGAUACUGCCUCCUUUAGAGUGUUUGGUGAGCCUUGGUCCUCAGAAAGUGAUAUUAAAGGGCCGCUUCACCACUCCUGUCCCAUGUGAGAAAUGCAGGCAGAAAAUAAUUUUCCACGUAUCCGGACACACUUGUUCUUCAUCCAGAUGUCUUUCAUUACCAAGAUAAUUCUCUGAACAUGUGCAACAGUGCCUGGAAAUGCAACCUGAAAUUGGAAGAAAAUAUCAAGUUUUUAAAAGAUAUUUUUAUUUUAUUUUAUGAGUUUUUAAUGAACUGUACUGUGCUUGACAACAAAUGAAUACAGAGACUUUUAUCAGCUAUUUACCUAGCAUAUGUUUGCACAUUUAGCUUUCACAUUAGAGUCAUGCUUCCUAAUAGAUAGGUACAGAACUGUAACUGAACAGAAAUCCACUUUCAGGAUGUCCUUUUAAACACUCUCACUGUCCUUAGGUACACUGAACUUUUAAAGUAAAAUAAAAUAAAAAAGAUGAUCAGUAGCAGCACCAUCUCUAAGAUAGGAAUAGAGACUUUAAUAGCACUAAUUAUGUGCACGUAAACUGACAAAAUAUCCUGCUAAAUGAACGUGUAGGUGUCCACCUUAGAGUGUGAGCAGUUAAUUGCCUUCAUCACAGUUGGAGUAAUUGCACAGAUAUAUUUGUGUAUGGGUGUAAGGGUAUGUUUCACGCAUAAUAAUUGAAUCGACAUCUCUUACUUAUUUGCUUUCAGAGAUUUUGAUACACACUGCAGCACUGGGUAAGUCCUCUGCUGUAGCUCUUCCCCUCCUCUAUGUUAGAGCAUCCAUGCAGAAAUGUUUGAAAGAAUCAGUGUGGCCAUUGCUUGUCAGAGUCUCAAGUCUCAGAGUCUUGAGCUGUUAGCUAAGAACAUGCCAGAGCUGGAAACAUCUUCUUAAGACAGAAAUUUAACUAAGUUUAACUCAGUUGAUUUUCACCUAGAACAAAAAUGACUAUACCAGAGAUUCAAAAAGACAACCCUAACAGCCUUCAAAGUGAAACCAUUUGCUCUAACUGGAUAGACAAAAACUAACAAACAAAAACAAGCAAACAAAAAAAACAAAACAAAACCCUGCCAAUAUACUGCAUCUUGGUUUCAGAUUAAAUUCUUUGCAUUUGGUAAAAUAAAUCUAGCCUUUUUAAGUUAGAAAAUAUAUAUGUAUAUAAAUAUUUACAAAGGCUGCUCAGAAAGUAAUGCCUUCUAUUUUAUUAUGUUGGCCCAUGAAGUCAGAGGUGGAUGUUGGUGGGAAGGCAGUAGAGAUUGAACCUUCCUGCCAAUAUUCUGUUACUUCUUAUUGCCAUGCAACAGAUGACAGCAGAGGGGCAGUCUGACAAAAGGAUAUCUAACAUGGAAGUGUGUAUACAGUAAAGGUGUGUCACUGAAUUCCUCCAUGCGGAAGAACUGGCACCCACUGACAUUCAUCAAUGCUUGAGGAAUAUUUAUAGGGAACAAACAGUGGAUGUGAGCACACUGAUGCAGUGUGUGAUGCGUUUCAGCAGUGGUGACAUUGAUGGGAAAGGUAAGCCACAUUCCAGAUGACCAUGCACAACUGUCAGAACACCAAAUGAAGAGCAUCUCAAUCAGCUCACUUGCACUAAUUGGCAGAUUAUGAUCAAGGAACUGUAUAUAGAGCUCAAUAUCAGGUUCAAUGCAUUUGAAACAAUGGUGGUAAUGUUGGAAUAUUGCUAAGUUUGAGCUAGGAGGGUCCCACGAAUUCUCACACAAGGAACAGAAAGAACACUGUGUCCAAGUUUGUUAAGAUCUAUUGGACUAAUACGACGCUGAAGGUGACAGUCUCUUGCAUCACAUCAUUACUGGUGACAAGAUCCGAACUCAAAACAGCAGUCUCUGGAGUGGUGAUAUGUGAAUUCCCCAUGAAAGAAGAUGUUCAAGACAGCUCUCAGCAGAUAACUGAUUGGGAUAGGGGUGAUUUUCUGAAUUUACUAGAACCCAAACAAACCUUCAACUCUGACUGCUACGUUGCAAUCCUGACUAAGCUAAAGUCUUGAACUUUCAGAAUUAGGCCAGAGAAGAAGAGAAGACAACUUCUCUCUUGCAAUGUGAUAACACCAGGUGCUAUAUCACUUUGUAGACCAUGGAGUAUAUUGCCAAUCUUGGCUGUCCUAUCCCACACACCACGUAGCCUAGAUUUGACACCUUCUGGCUUCCAUCUGUUUGGGCCAGUCAAAGAUGGACUGUGUGGGCAACAUUUUCCCAGCAAUACACCAUCAUAGCAGCUGUGAAAAAGUGGGUUACUUCUGCUGGUGCAGAUUUUUAUAAGUGCGGCAUGCAAGUUCUUGUUCAUCACAGAUAAAAAUGCAUAGGUAAUGGUAGCGACUGUGUUGAAAAAUAGUGUUUUGUAGCUGAGAAUUUGUUCUAUCAAGUAGUGUUAUUGUGUUAUUUGAUGUCAUUUCCAUGAAAACAAUGGAGGCAUUACUUUUGGAGUGACCUUUGUGUGUAUGUGUAUGUAUAUAUGCGCAAAAUUAUAUGUAAAUUGAACAGUUUUGCCUUUGUGAAGCUAGGUGAAAAACACUCUAGAAGCAUAAGCCACAGGAACAGAAGCUGAAAUAAGAAUCCAUUGAAAUUCAUACCUCGAGUUUAUACGUUUUUAGAAGUGUAUUUUUCCCUUUCAGACUGGUGAGCUGAGGUCUUUAAUUGACAAAGAUGACCCAGUGCCUCACCCUUUACCCCCUAAACUUAAUUUUAAGUAAAACUCAUAUGCUUCUCUCUAGUGGUUCCUUUUUAAUUGCCUUGAAUGUCUGAACUCUGUUAAAAUGUUUGGAGUUUCCAAGUCCAGUUGUACACAGAAAAAAUUGCUAGUUUGCAAGCUGUAACUGAAGUCAGAGAUUAGGUAUUGAUCUCAAAAGAAAAUUACUAAGGAUUGUGGGAGAUCUUGCUCUGACAAGAAAGGAUGACUUUUGAGGCCUCCAAAGAUGCAAAAUUCUUUCAAUGAUGUGCAUUAGUGCUAAUCAGUAUGUGUUGCCAUGGUUCAGUAGAAGUCAGUGCUGAACUUCACAAAACUCUUUCAACCUUUUCUCUCUAACUGUAUAAAUGUGAAAGUAACAAUAAAUCUUGUUGACAAUUACUUCCACAUCUAUUGGCAGUCAGUCAGGUGCAAUGUGAACAGCAUUGUGCACAAUAUGGGUAGCACAGCCAACACCUAUUAACUAUCUCCCUAGUUUCUCCUGUGACUUACAGAACAUGUUAUUUUUCCCCAGUGAGUAGCCCUUUCAAAUGUUGAAUUAGUAAUAUUAGCACCAAAUACUACUAAUUUGUCAGCCAGGCUGUGUUUUUCCAAAGUGUUCACAAUAGGGGCUGAUAACUGCUUUGCAGUUCAGCAGAGCAAAGAUGAAAAUUCAGAAACUUUCUAAAUCAUUUGUAUAAGACUCAAAGUAGGUUUUUGUUUGUUUGUUUGUUUGUUUUUGUUUUGUAACCACUAGAAUAUUCAAUAUGUAUGUUUAAAAAAGAAAAAAAGUGGCAUUUCAGCUUCACUCAGCAAGAUACUUAACUGCAUGGUAAUAUGGAAGUAUAUAUUUAGGUUCUUUGAAGAACCAGAGCUAGAAACAUUUUUAAUAGCAUGAAAUCUUUGUUCAAAGAACACAUUGUCAGGACCACCUUUGUAUUUUCAGAUUUUAGUGGCUAGCUUAACUAAUAUUUAUGAAGAAGUAAAUCUCUCUGCUAUAAAUAACAAUUUUCUAUUGUAUAUAAUGCAUUCAUUGCUUGAACAGUUUUCAUUGACAUCAGUAUGAAACCUGUGCAAAUAAUUUUGUAGCAUAUGAAACUGAAAAUCACAAAUGGUUGAGGGUUG
rnacentral:lncRNA from 1 species